rnacentral:lncRNA from 1 species
AGAAUGUAACACUUCUUUGAACAUUGGUGAUGAAUGACAAUGAACAUGCUAAACUAAGCCUAAGACGGAAAUGGGAAAAUGGAUCAACAGAAGGGGAGAAGUUCCUGCCAGAUUGACAACCCCACAGCCAAUGCGCAGAGGAAAGUUCCCGUACAUUCUACAAGGCACAGUCAACUUGUACACAAUCUGAAACUGGGAAUUCAUAUACAGACUUAAAGGAGUGUAAUAAAAGCAAGCAUACGACAGUGCACCCUCCUGAUGUGGCUCCUAUUUCUAUGUGGAAUAUGGCUGAGCUGGUGUGAAAAGGGCGUAUUAUGGUAUGUUACAAGCAAAGCAUGCAUGUGGCGCAGCAAAGGAGGGACUAACAGCACAGCUGGACAGAACAGAGACGCUGUCUUACAGGAGAGGGCUUGUUUUAUUCGUUUGUUUAUGCUACAACUGAUUACCUGCAGCCUAUUUAAAAAUCAACACAUGCAGUGAUAUUCCAGAAACCUUACAAAGACAAAAAUAAAAACAAAAAAAUACUGGGGGUGGGGUGGGGGAAAUAGAUGAGAUGGAAAUAAAGAAAAAAACCUACAGCUCAAAAACUCAGGAAUGGCAACCCUGAUGAAAGAAAGGAAGCACAGGGUGUGGACCUACAGC